GGGGCAUUAAGAAUUCACUCUGUAGAGAACAACUUUCUUAUGCUGCUGUAUGAGCUGCAUCAGUUUCAUAUGCCAGUUUGCCUCCCCUUGAACAUUGUCCACCUGCUUCUGUCAAUUAUCUGCCACUACCCUUUUUACUUUUUGUCAGCUGUUGUUCUUGUUUGCUGCAUUCUUCUACAUAAUGAAAAUUCUUCUGUACUUUAUUUAUGUUAAAGAGAAUGGAGUCAUCAACCAGUCUAUAUUUUAAUGAAUUCCUACAACCAGGGAAAAAUGAAAACAAAGAAAGGAAUCAAGAAAAAUUGCUGCUUCAUUUUUCAAAAUAGACCAAGCACAUGAAUGCCUAUCAAAAUGAUGACUUUUCAAAGGAAAUUGGCUGUGGC
rnacentral:lncRNA from 1 species